GUGAGGUAAAAGCUCACCAAGGCAUCGACGGGUAGCUGGUCUGAGAGGACGAUCAGCCACACUGGGACUGAGACACGGCCCAGACUCCUACGGGAGGCAGCAGUAGGGAAUCUUGCACAAUGGGCGAAAGCCUGAUGCAGCGACGCCGCGUGGGGGAUGAAGGCCUUCGGGUUGUAAACCCCUUUCAGUAGGGACGAAAAUGACGGUACCUACAGAAGAAGCUCCGGCCAACUACGUGCCAGCAGCCGCGGUAACACGUAGGGAGCAAGCGUUGUCCGGAUUUAUUGGGCGUAAAGAGCUCGUAGGUGGUUCGGUAAGUCGGAUGUGAAAACUCAAGGCUCAACCUUGAGACGCCAUCCGAUACUGCUGUGACUUGAGUUCGGUAGAGGAGUGUGGAAUUCCUGGUGUAGCGGUGAAAUGCGCAGAUAUCAGGAGGAACACCGACAGCGAAGGCAGCACUCUGGGCCGAUACUGACACUGAGGAGCGAAAGCAUGGGGAGCAAACAGGAUUAGAUACCCUGGUAGUCCAUGCCGUAAACGUUGGGCACUAGGUGUGGGGAUUUAUCAACGAUCUCCGCGCCGUCGCUAACGCAUUAAGUG
rnacentral:rRNA from 1 species